UUAUUAUUAUUAUUAGUGAAGUGCAUUAAAGUUUGGUAUUGGAUUAGUUGUGGGAAUUCACAGAACGGGAGCUGUCAAGUGGCAGGAAUUGACCCCUCCGUGGAUAUUGCGAAUCCGCGUCACUGACCAAUCAGAGGCCAGAGAUUUGCAUAAACCAAAGCCCGUUUUUGCUCCCGCCAUUUUCUCAGACAACAUUGCAUGGUCCAGUAUAGGUUUUGUUAGCGUUUUAUCGCGUAUUUUGGUUAUUUAACAAAAAAUAUGGUUAAGAGGUGUAGUCACGGACUUUGUAAUAGUGACGACAGGUAUCCUGAAAGGCUAGUUGGUGGAGUUCGAUUCGUACCCUUUCAAAAACCGAAGACCCAGUACGAAAAAUGCCUUCGAUGGAUCAAACUUUGUGCAAGACCGCAUCAUCAACUAAAUCCAUCUAAUAUCAACCGGAACAGAUAUGUUUGCACGAAGUUUUACCUCCAGGAAGGGAGCUCGUUAUUCAUUCGUGUUAGCCAAAAUGCCGACUUGUUGGAUUGCUGGACAUUGCUUGAACACUCGGGAGGAUGGAUUUACCCAUCAUAAAUUUGCAAGAGACCCAGUUCGUCGUGAAAAAUGGAUUGCACGAGUGCAAAGGAAAGAGUUUCGUGGGUUCCAAAUGGCAGGACAUCUGCAGCACAACCUUGGUGGCAAUCGUCAUGAGGACUUGAGGUCGGCUAAGGGUACCAGCCAAAACGCACUGGCUAGGAGUGGGGCAAUCCACGUACAAGUAUUUCUUCACACAAUCAUACAUAUCCUUCCUGUUGCUGGCAAAGACCACUACCAGCUAUUAAAAAUAAAAAAAAAAGUGUGACACAGCAGCAGUGAAGUUGUUUCUGUUUGCUUUAGUCAUUUUAAAUCUCAUUCACUCCAAGUUAACCUGCAUAUUUGAGUUGUCAAGCUGUCAAUGUAAUUGAUUCAUGAAUAUGUUUGGAAACAUUUACCCCACUAAUAACAACAAAAUGACCAAUCGUUCCUGUCCAAUAACUUCAGAACAUAUUUUGCCACUAACCAUCUGUGUUUCAGCUUGAACAUUCUACUGCAGGGUUCUAAGCAGAGACUCCUGAUGACCUUCAUACUCAAUCCUAAAAAGGACAAGAAAAAUAAAUGCCAGGCAAAGGCUGGAUUUAAACUAUACCCCGGAGUUCAGUGUGGCUUAUUGCAGACUUUGUAUGGCCCUCACAUGACCGCUUUUUGGAUGGAGAUCCUAGCUGGGCCUGCCACUUUAUUGAGAGUCUCCAGGAGGCUUUGCACUUCCCUGGUGUUCCGGCGAGUGUAGAGCAGCAGCCAGUUUUGCAGAGGAGGGGAGGAAAUCAAAGGCAACCCAUGCAUCUCUCUUGCCCAAUCAUCUGUCCGAGGGUUGCAACCAUACUAAGGGACACAGGCGUCAAUAUCCAUUUCAACUCAAGAAUAAAAAUGCCCAAUUCCAACAUUUUCUACCAAUCUUGAUUCCUGGAUAAUUUUCUCUGGUGGGAGGAUUCUGUCAGUCAGACUUAGGAGCUGCUGGUCGAAGUUAAGCCCCCACCUCGCCAACUCUCUCUGGACUUCAGUGUCCCCUCCAAGUCAAGUGAAAAGUGCAAUCAGUACUUAGUCUGUAAAUUUCACAUCACGGUUAAUCAUGACCAAAAGUAUGAGGAUUGGAUUGAUUCAAGAAAUGGAAACAGAAAAAAAAAGAAUACCGUUGUAUUGAUUUCACAUUAAUUUAUUUGUAGCCUGAUUUCCUCAUUGUAUAUAUAUGAUUUCAAACUGGACUUUGAGCUGACAAUAUUUACAAAACUUGAAUUGAAAUACAAAUUCUUCAGGGGACGGUCAACAAAAACAUGAUCCAGAUGUUGACUAUCCAGAUGCUUCAGACUGACCUGUCUGCUGUGAGGUUGAAGUCAACGACACCUUGUUCAUCAAAGAGUAUGCAGGAUUGGCCCCAAGGUUGUUUGUAGCUGAAAAGUACAACAGAGAGAUGCAGAGUACAAACAGGUAGAGUCUGCUGCGGGUUGCGUACGAACGCCCAGCUGGUUGACGAGGGGAGCUGUGCCUGGGUG